rnacentral:rRNA from 1 species
GACAGAGGGGGCAAGCGUUGCUCGGAAUUACUGGGCGUAAAGGGCGCGUAGGCGGGAUGGCAAGUCGGUCGUGAAAUCCUUCGGCUCAACCGAAGAACGUCGAUCGAUACUGCUGUUCUUGAGGGUUGCAGAGGAGACUGGAAUUCCCGGUGUAGCGGUGAAAUGUGUAGAGAUCGGGAGGAACACCGGUGGCGAAGGCGGGCCUCUGGGCAAUUCCUGACGCUGAGGCGCGAAAGCGUGGGGAGCAAACGGG